UGGAAGAAGUUAAAAAGGGAAGCAAAGGAAGAAAUGAAGAAAGAAACAGACAAUAAGUUAGAAGAGUUGAGUAAAAUAUGGGAAGAAAAAUUUCAAAUGAUGAUGGCAGCUCAAAGUCAACAAUCAAAUGAUCCAAAUCUAACCGUAAGUAGUUUAGAUUAUCUUAAAUUUCAAAUGAUGAUGGCAGCUCAAAGUCAACAAUCAAAUGAUCCAAAUCUAAUCGUAAGUAGUUUAUAUUAUCUUUUUAUAUUAGUGUUUUGAUACUAUGUGGUUUUUUUUAAGAAAACAUACAUAUUAACAAUUAAAUUUUAUUUUUUAAGUAAAUACUUUAUUGUACCUUUUUUUAUUCAAUUUUUCAUUGUUAUUGCAGCUUUUGGAGAAGUGAUGAAAGCACCUAAGUGAUGGAGAGAUGAACAAUUAUUUUUUUGUCUUGUAAAAGUACAUUUCAUAUGUUUGCGUAGAAUAAUGUUCCACUAUUUUGAAUGACAUUGUUUAUCUUUUAUUAUUUUUCUCUAAUAUAUUAUAUUUAUUAC
rnacentral:lncRNA from 1 species